UCGCGGCGCUCGGGGCUGAGGGGCAGCGGCGGGCGGGGGCGGUGCCCGUGGGCGGUCACAACAUGGCGGAGGGCGGGCGCGUGCCGGGGCGGCCAGCAAAAUGGCGGGGGGCGCGCGAGCGCUCCGCGAGGGGUGGGGUGCCUCUGGCGUUGCUCCUUCGUCCUUCGGCCGCUCCCCUGUGACAACACGGCCGUAUCUCAGGGGAAAAAGUAUCGGUUCCCCGCGCCGUGUUUUGUUGAGGCACCUCAGGAAACCGCGGGAAGCGCGCUUGGUGUUUUCGAACAGCUCCACGAGCAGUUGUGCUUCUGCAAUCAAGGCAGCAGACAGAACGGAGACAGGAAAAGGUGAUGCCUGAGCUGAAGUGAACAACUCAGGAAUCUGCCAAGCCUGUGUUUUAAUGAUUUAACAGAUGGAGUUGGCACAUGUGAACCUGGAAGAUGCAUCUGUCUGAUUUUUCCAGUCUGAGGAUUUUUUAACUGCAUUAAUGGCACAGACAAUGGUAAAAUAUCACCUCCCCAGGCUGCUUUGCUCUCCUAACACAUAAUGUCUCUUAAGGAAAAAAAAGUGCUAGGAGACUGGGGUGAGCAAAAGGCCAUGAGAGAAAUGAGGAUUUGAAAAGUUUAGUAUUUUCUGCCUUCACUGCAUUAGGUUUUUAAGGCUUUCACUUUGAAUUUCAUGUGUGUAUGGUGUGGAAACAGAAAUUCUACCCAGACAAGGUUAUCUAUGAUCUCGGGGUUCUGUUAAUUAAUUAGUGGUUCUAAAUAAACACCAUUUAAACAAGGAGACCA
rnacentral:lncRNA from 1 species